GACGAACGCUGGCGGCGUGCUUAACACAUGCAAGUCGAACGGAAAGGCCCUGCUUUUGUGGGGUGCUCGAGUGGCGAACGGGUGAGUAACACGGGAGUAACCUGCCCUUGACUUUGGGAUAACUUCAGGAAACUGGGGCUAAUACCGGCUAGGAGCUCCUGCUGCAUGGUGGGGGUUGGAAAGUUUCGGCGGUUGGGGAUGGACUCGCGGCUUAUCAGCUUGUUGGUGGGGUAGUGGCUUACCAAGGCUUUGACGGGUAGCCGGCCUGAGAGGGUGACCGGCCACAUUGGGACUGAGAGACGGCCCAGACUCCUACGGGAGGCAGCAGGGGGGAAUAUUGCACAAUGGGCGGAAGCCUGAUGCAGCAACGCCGCGUGCGGGAUGACGGCCUUCGGGUUGUAAACCGCUUUCGCCUGUGACGAAGCGUGAGUGACGGUAAUGGGUAAAGAAGCACCGGCUAACUACGUG
rnacentral:rRNA from 1 species